rnacentral:rRNA from 1 species
UCGGGAACUCNGANACAGGUGCUGCANNGCUGUCNUCANCUCGUGUUGUGAAAUGUUGGGUUAAGUNNCGCAACGAGCGCAACCCUUAUCCUUGUUUGCCAGCACGUAAUGGUGGGAACUCCAGGGAGACUGCCGGUGAUAAACCGGAGGAAGGUGGGGACGACGUCAAGUCAUCAUGGCCCUUACGAGUAGGGCUACACACGUGCUACAAUGGCGCAUACAGAGGGCGGNCAACCAGCGAUGGUGAGCGAAUCCCAAAAAGUGCGUCGUAGUCCGGAUUGGAGUCUGCAACUCGACUCCAUGAAGUCGGAAUCGCUAGUAAUCGUGAAUCAGAAUGUCACGGUGAAUACGUUCCCGGGCCUUGUACACACCGCCCGUCACACCAUGGGAGUGGGCUGCAAAAGAAGUGGGUAGUUAAC